AUAUUUAGGUUGGUGCAAAAGUAAUUGCGGUUUUUGCAAUUGCAAGUAAUGGCAAAAACCGCAGUUACUUUUGCACAAACCUAAUACA
rnacentral:miRNA from 10 species